ACACUCUGGUUUCUCUUCAGAUCGCAAAAAUCUUUCGCCUUUUACUAAAGAUUUCCUUGGAGAGGAACAUGUUCGAGUUAAUGGGAAUUUUUGGACGUCUGACAUCGGUCAGGAA
rnacentral:snRNA from 1 species